CUGGAACCACAGCUCCACCAACAGCCACAGCAAGAAGCAGAUGAUGGAGUGAUGUGGAGGAGAUCACACGAGUUGUCAUGAUUAUGAAGGACGACAGAUGAGACAGAGAAUACAUAUGCGGUUGAUGAAUUUUGUGAUGUUGCAGGAAUUGAUGAAGCAGUUGACAAACUUCAAGAGGUGGUGUUUUCUAUUUGAAUUGGGAUGUACUACUUAGUAAAGCUUGGAGGCGAGGCGCGGAGGUUCAAUCACCGAAG